rnacentral:rRNA from 1 species
GGUUCAGGAUGAACGCUAGCGGCAGGCUUAACACAUGCAAGUCGAGGGGCAUCGGGAGUAGCAAUACUUGCCGGCGACCGGCGCAAGGGUGCGUAACGCGUGAGCAACAUGCCCGUAUCAGGGGGAUAAUCCAUGGAAACGUGGUCUAAUACCCCAUAGUAAUUAUGUAAGGCAUCUUAUAUAAUUUAAAGCUUUGGUGGAUACGGAUUGGCUCGCGUGACAUUAGCUGGAUGGUAAGGUAACGGCUUACCAUGGCUACGAUGUCUAGGGGUUCUGAGAGGAAGGUCCCCCACACUGGAACUGAGACACGGUCCAGACUCCUACGGGAGGCAGCAGUGAGGAAUAUUGGACAAUGGAUGGAAAUCUGAUCCAGCCAUGCCGCGUGCAGGAAGACGGCCCUAUGGGUUGUAAACUGCUUUUGUAUGGGAGCAAUAAGGGCUACGUGUAGUCCGAUGAGAGUACCAUACGAAUAAGCACCGGCUAACUCCGUGCCAGCCGCCGC